rnacentral:rRNA from 1 species
CACGGGGGGAACGCGAAGAACCUUACCAGGGAUUGACAUGACGGUAGUAGUGAAGCGAAAGCGGAACGACCCUUCGGGGAGCCGUCACAGGUGAUGCAUGGCUGUCGUCAGCUCGUGCCGUGAGGUGUUUGGUUAAGUCCACUAACGAGCGCAACCCUUAGCCCCAGUUAUACGUGUCUGGUGCGACUGCCGGUAUUAAGCCGGAGGAAGGUGGGGAUGACGUCAAAUCAGCAUGUCCUUUAUACCCUGGGCGACACACACGCUACAAUGGCCAGUACAGUGGGUUGCCAAGCCGCGAGGCGGAGCCAAUCCUAAAAAGCUGGUCUCAGUUCGGAUUGCAGGCUGCAACCCGCCUGCAUGAAGUCGGAGUUGCUAGUAACCGCAGGACAGCUAUACUGCGGUGAAUACGUUCCCGGGUCUUGUACACACGC